UGAGGAAUAUUGGUCAAUGGGCGGGAGCCUGAACCAGCCAAGUCGCGUGAAGGAAGAAGGAUCUAUGGUUCGUAAACUUCUUUUGCAGGGGAAUAAAGUGCAGGACGUGUCCUGUUUUGUAUGUACCCUGAGAAUAAGGAUCGGCUAACUCCGUGCCAGCAGCCGCGGUAAUACGGAGGAUCCGAGCGUUAUCCGGAUUUAUUGGGUUUAAAGGGUGCGUAGGUGGUUUGAUAAGUCAGCGGUGAAAGUUUGCAGCUUAACUGUAAAAAUGCCGUUGAAACUGUCGGACUUGAGUGUAAAUGAGGUAGGCGGAAUGCGUGGUGUAGCGGUGAAAUGCAUAGAUAUCACGCAGAACUCCGAUUGCGAAGGCAGCUUACUAAGCUACAACUGACACUGAAGCACGAAAGCGUGGGGAUCAAAC
rnacentral:rRNA from 1 species